UAGGAAAUUUCCGAUAGCACGUGAAGGCAGCAUAAAAGAUGCCUGCUUAAGCAUUGCGUGGUGACUCCUUCAACGUGUGUUUAUGCUCUGCGGGCAGUAAUAGUCUUUUUCGCCGUCUAUCCCCUUUUUGCUCUUUGCUGGAGUGUGUGCGAGUGGAGUGGCGAGCGCAAUUCGCAUAAAGUCUGCUGUAGUUUAAGAAUUUCAUAUAGGAGGUGCGGCCUGAGAGUGCUAGCUGCUGUUUCAUAUACCCGUUUUAUACACUGCUGUUUCAUCGCUCGGUUUAUGCGGCUGAUUCUGACGGCUGUGGAUGCCGCUGUUUUGAACUGCGAUUUGCCGGGUGCUUUCUAAGACUAAUC